AAAGCAAGCAGCAGCUGGAUAUCACUGGAUAUGCGGAUGCAGACUGGGGCAGUGACGACGUAGACCGCCGGUCGUACACGGGCUACGUCUUUAAAAUAGAAUCAUAUAUGCUCGAGCAACAGCUGUCAGGUCAAAGAUUAAGUCACAAAUAAAUAUCCCAAUCACGUAAAAGGAAACGGUGACACAGUUCAGACCCACCUACAUCAAGACAGUCGCAUUUACUGGAUCAUGAUUAUUGUAAAAAAAACAAGAGCAGCUUCCAAUCACCUAAAAGAAAAAAGUUAUCUGCUUCAGAGCCAUCUACAUCGAGACAGUCGCAUUUACUAGACCAUGAUUAUUCUAAAAAAAAGAAGAGCAUCCUCCAAUCACCUAAAAGAAGAAAGUUAUCUGCCAAAGAUUUACAAGUGACACCACGAAAAACAAAAUUAUUAAAAAAAAUUGAUUUCUACAAGCAGAAAAUAACAACAUUGCGUGAAGGAAAUGUAUUGCCGCGCAUUAAAUCAUUAGCUCUGAAGACCUUAAUCACUGCGUAUUUACGCAACAACCGUAGAAAUGCGCGAGGUAA